UACGUAGGGUGCAAGCGUUGUCCGGAAUUAUUGGGCGUAAAGAGCUCGUAGGCGGUCUGUCGCGUCUGCUGUGAAAACUCGGGGCUUAACCCCGGGCCUGCAGUGGGUACGGGCAGACUAGAGUGCGGUAGGGGAGACUGGAAUUCCUGGUGUAGCGGGUGAAAAUGCGCAGAUAUCAGGAGGAACACCGGUGGCGAAGGCGGGAUCUCCUGGGCAGUGAACUGACGCUGGAGGAGCGAAAGCGUGGG
rnacentral:rRNA from 1 species